UGGGGAAUAUUGCACAAUGGGGGAAACCCUGAUGCAGCGACGCCGCGUGAGUGAAGAAGUAUUUCGGUAUGUAAAGCUCUAUCAGCAGGGAAGAUAAUGACGGUACCUGACUAAGAAGCACCGGCUAAAUACGUGCCAGCAGCCGCGGUAAUACGUAUGGAGCAAGCGUUAUCCGGAUUUACUGGGUGUAAAGGGAGUGUAGGUGGCCAUGCAAGUCAGAAGUGAAAAUCCGGGGCUCAACCCCGGAACUGCUUUUGAAACUGUAAGGCUAGAGUGCAGGAGGGGUGAGUGGAAUUCCUAGUGUAGCGGUGAAAUGCGUAGAUAUUAGGAGGAACACCAGUGGCGAAGGCGGCUCACUGGACUGUAACUGACACUGAGGCUCGAAAGCGUGGGGAGCAAACAGGAUUAGAUACCCUGGUAGU
rnacentral:rRNA from 1 species